GUGGGGAAUUUUGGACAAUGGGCGGAAGCCUGAUCCAGCCAUGCCGCGUGAGUGAAGAAGGCCUUCGGGUUGUAAAGCUCUUUCGGUGGGGAAGAAAUUGCACGGGUUAAUACCCUGUGUAGAUGACGGUACCCGACUAAGAAGCACCGGCUAACUACGUGCCAGCAGCCGCGGUAAUACGUAGGGUGCGAGCGUUAAUCGGAAUUACUGGGCGUAAAGCGUGCGCAGGCGGUUUGAUAAGUCAGAUGUGAAAUCCCCGGGCUCAACCUGGGAAUGGCAUUUGAGACUGUCAAGCUGGAGUUUGGCAGAGGGGGGUGGAAUUCCACGUGUAGCAGUGAAAUGCGUAGAGAUGUGGAGGAACACCGAUGGCGAAGGCAGCCCCCUGGGCCAAUACUGACGCUCAUGCACGAAAGCGUGGGGAGCAAACAGGAUUAGAUACCCGAGUAGUCC
rnacentral:rRNA from 1 species